rnacentral:rRNA from 1 species
AACGAACGCUGGCGGCAUGCCUAACACAUGCAAGUCGAACGAGACCUUCGGGUCUAGUGGCGCACGGGUGAGUAACGCGUGGGAACCUGCCCUUAGGUUCGGAAUAACUCCCCGAAAGGGGUGCUAAUACCGGAUAAUGUCUUCGGACCAAAGAUUUAUCGCCUUUGGAUGGGCCCGCGUUGGAUUAGCUAGUUGGUAGGGUAAAAGCCUACCAAGGCGACGAUCCAUAGCUGGUCUGAGAGGAUGAUCAGCCACACUGGGACUGAGACACGGCCCAGACUCUUCCGGGAGGCAGCAGUGGGGAAUAUUGGACGAUGGGCGAAAGCCUGAUCCAGCAAUGCCGCGUGAGUGAUGAAGGCCUUAGGGUUGUAUAGCUCUUUUACCCGGGAUGAUAAUGACAGUACCGGGAGAAUAAGCUCCGGCUAACUCCGUG